rnacentral:rRNA from 1 species
UACGUAGGAGGCAAGCGUUGUCCGGAUUUACUGGGCGUAAAGAGCGUGUAGGCGGUGCGUUAAGUCUGCCGUGAAAUCUCUUCGCUUAACGAAGAGGGGUCGGUGGAAACUAGCGCACUAGAGGACGGUAGAGGGGGGUGGAAUUCCCGGUGUAGUGGUGAAAUGCGUAGAGAUCGGGAGGAACACCAGCGGCGAAGGCGGCCCCCUGGGCCGCUCCUGACGCUGAGACGCGAAGGCCAGGGUAGCGAACGGG